UGUUUUAAAUUUUUGUUUCUUUACUGGGGUUCUUCAAGGUCCGACUGUAGGCUGCAGCUAGGUAUUUCUACAAAAUUCGGAACAAAUUAAAAUUACGCAAAGAUAUCGUUUCGCUGAUCUGAACUGAASUAGAACUCCACUGAGUUCAUCGUUCGUUCUCUCUAAUUUCCGCUCAAUCUCAACCGCUUGAUGGCUGACUUCAUCAAACACCAUCGUGAUCAAUAAAUCGCAACCGUAGUCUUCAUCCUCCGUGCCUUCUCACUCCCUUAUUCAUCUAAAUUCGUUUCUGCAAAUCACCUUUAAUCGCCGGCACGUCACUGGGUUCAGCUCAUCUGAAGCAUUUCAUACCAUGGUCUCGUUGAUUCAUGAGCGAUCUCUGGUUUCUUUGAUCUGCAUCGCCUUGAAUGCKGUAGAUUCGGGUGUCAACUGAACARUCUGUACGUUUCCAUUGCCUUUUCAGCUCCCCAUGGCUGAAUUUGAGAUCUUAAACUCUGCCAGCUACCUACUUCACUAUCUUCAUGUAGCUUCUUGACUUGAGAAAUUCAGAGUUAGCAUAUGUUGCUGAUUUAGGCACUUGAUUUUUGUUCCUCUGGGCCAUGCGGAUCAGUUGAAGUAAUUCAGUUAGGCUGUUGUUGGGGGGAUGAUAAUGCCUCCUUCUCCAGCAUUGAGGAGCUCUCCUGGUAGAGAGCUCASAGGCAGCAAUCAUAAGCGAGGCCACAGCUUUGAGAGUGGCAUGUGCAUAAGAGAGAAAGAUGACGAUCUUGCUUUAUUCAAUGAAAUGCAGACUCGAGAAAGAGAGAGUUUCCUGCUUCAGUCGGCAGAGGACUUGGAGGACUCAUUUUCUACAAAGUUGAGGCACUUUUCCGAUAUCAAGCUUGGUAUCUCCAUUCCUGUUCGUGGAGAGAAUAGUGAAUUGCUUAAUGUAGAUGGGGAGAAAAAUGACUAUGACUGGUUGUUAACACCUCCCGACACCCCUCUUUUCCCUUCAUUGGACAAUGAUCCGCCUCCAGUUACUCUUGCAAGCAGGGGGAGACCUCGUAGUCAACCCAUUUCCAUAUCACGAUCAUCCACGAUGGAAAAAAGUCACAGAAGCAGUACGAGUAGGGGUAGUGCAAGUCCUAAUCGUUUAAGCCCAUCGCCUAGGUCAGCAAGCAGUGUGCCUCAAAUGCGGGGAAGGCAACUGUCAGCCCCGCACUCUAGCCCAACUCCAAGUCUACGACAUGCCACACCAUCUAGAAGAUCAACUACCCCUGCAAGAAGAUCAUCACCUCCUCCAAGUACACCAUCAAUAUCUGUGACAAGGUCUUCCACCCCAACUCCCAGGAGGUUGAGCACAGGGUCGAGUGGAACUUCUACCACAUCUGGGGCAAGGGGAACUUCACCUAUAAAGGCAGUAAGAGGAAAUUCUGCUUCACCUAAAAUAAGAGCAUGGCAAACUAAUAUUCCUGGUUUCUCUUCUGAUGCUCCCCCUAACCUUCGAACAUCCCUGGCUGAUCGGCCAGCAUCAUAUACGAGAGGAUCUUCACCAGCUUCUCGAAACAGUAUGGACCUUCAAUACAAGUACAGUAGGCAAUYGAUGUCUCCAACUGCUCCUAUCAGCUCAUCCCAUAGUCACGAUCGAGAUCGCUAUAGCUCUUACAGUAGAGGUUCGAAGGCCUCAUCUGGUGAUGAUGAUUUAGACUCCCUGCAGUCAAUUCCUACUAGCAGUUUGGAUAAUUCAUUGUCAAAAGGAGGGAAUACAUUUUCAAAUAACAAAGCUCUGACCAUAUCAAAGAAACACAGAAUAGUGUCUUCUACUUCCACUCCCAAAAGAUCCCUCGAUUCCACUAUUCGACAAUUGGAUCGAAAGAGCCCGAAUAUGUUUAGGCCACUUUUAUCAAGUGUCCCCAGUACCACCUUUUAUACUGGCAAGGUGAGUUCUGCCCAUCGUUCUCUGAUUUCCAGGAACUCCUCAGUCACAACUAGCAGUAAUGCAAGUUCUUAUAAUGGUGCAAGUAUUGUACUUGAUACAGAAGUGAGUGACCUAAAUCAGGAUGAUAUGGCAAAUGAAUGUGAGAAAGUGCCAUAUCAUGACAUUCAUGAAGAGAUAUUCGCUUUCGAUAAGAUGGAUAUUGUUAAUGAAAAUCCCAUUAAUGAUAUCAAGUCACUUGAUAGUGGCCCUGCACCUGGUUGUGAUCCUGUUCUCACUGAAGAUAGCAGUCACCAAACUAUUAUCCCAGAAAUAAGUUCCACUUUUGACUCUUCUCGUGCCCAGGGGAAUGCUUUUUCAGAGGUUGUUUGCCUUGAUGAUAUAAUUUUGUGUCCCAGAUGUGGUUGUAGGUAUUGUGUCAUUGACACAGAGGAAAAUWACAUUAAUCUUUGUCCAGAAUGCAGUAGGAAAGAAAAAUACCUUGGCAUGACCCUUUUGGAAAAUAUGACUUYAGUUACUGAAAGCAUAUCAGGGUAUUCAAUAAAGUAUGAAGCAGGUAAGCCUUUCAAUAAGGUGGAGUCAGGGGUGAUUUCGCUUGAAUCUUCCCUAGCUACUGAUUUGGGUGAAUCUAGGAUUUCCGAGUCUCUGGGCAAUGUUGAGCAAGAUCAAGCAUCUUAUCCUGAAGAAGGCUUGAGUUACCAGAAAGAAAACUUCCCCUCAGAAACACCGGUGAGCGAAAGUCAGCAUAGCCUUAUCAACCAUUCAGAGAUAGGCCAAUUAGUUGUUAGUGGCAGUCAGUCCAACACUGAAUCUGGAUAUCAGCAACCUCUUCAUCAUAACGACUAUAAAGAUUUGAGGUUUGAUUCAUCAGAAGGUGCAGGUAUUUCUAUAUUGUUAAAGAGAUCGAGCAGCAGUAAGGGCCCUAUUGUCCAAGGAAGAACUUUUACUACAAGUACCAUAUCUUAUGAUGAUCUGUCUUUUGCAAGAGAUAGCAUGAGCAGUUUGAGAAGUUCUGUUGGACACAGCAGUUUUUCUGCAUCAUCAUCGGCUGAUUUCAGCUCAGCCAGACAGAUUGAAGCCCGAAUACAACGUCAGGUAAGUUCAAGGAAAGGGGAAUUAGAGAGCAAAAAGGGUGAAAUUUGCGUGAAAUCUCAUAUCUCUGAGGCAGCUUCUUCUGGAACACCUACCAAUGCUCAUCCUGUAUUAGGCUUUGAAACUUGUGAGCAAGAGGAAAAUUUGGAUUUUACUGUGGCCAAUUUAGAAUGUUUUUCCAGUCAGGGAACUACUAAUUCUUCUCAGAAACCUGAACUAGCUUCUGAAAAUGCUGAAUCAGAUGACACCUCUUCAAUUGUGGUUGCUGUUGUAGAGGAGGAUAAAUUUGAAUGCGACAACCGUAGAAUACUGGACACUUGUACCUCGGAAUCGUCAAGGGAGGACUUAUCAGGUGGUAGGAGUGUCUCAGAUAAAGAAGCACCAGUUACAACUUCCGACUGUUCCAAAUUGGAGGGACACAACAUGCCGGAUGUUAGUGCGUUUGAAGAUGAACAACAUCCCAAUCAUUUAAUGACCACAAUAUCAGAAAAAGAAACGAAACAAAUAGCUGAGGUGAUAGCACCUGGUUCACAGAGUGAUUUAUCAAUAAUAUCAAAAAGUCUCCUGGAGGAGGAAUCUAUGGUUCCUAGUGGGCCUGACGAGGAUUUAACACCACCUGUUAUUAAUACUGAAAAAUCUUAUGGUAUCCUAGAAGAAUCAACAGUAAUUGUCGAUUACCAGGGCAGAAGAAAGGUGGUGAGAAGCUUGACACUUGAAGAGGCAACAGAUACAAUUCUUUUCUGCAGCUCUAUUGUUCAUGAUAUAGCCUAUUCAGCUGCUUCCAUAGCAAUUGAAAAGGAAAACGAGGUUACAUUGGAAGGCUCACGGCCGACGGUUACCAUUUUGGGAAAAUCUAACACUGACAGAAGCGAUCUACGCAGUAGAACAGGCGGCAAACGGGUCAUGAAAUCUCAAAAACUGAGACAACGGCAUGUGGAAAUGAGUACAAAGCCUCCUGUUACGAAGACAGAGAAUGACGAGAACACCGACGAGUCCACCAUUCGAAAUGUAGGUCUUCCUAACCAAGUGGACAGCAUGAAACCUCUAAAGCUGGAAUCCAAAUGCAACUGCAGUAUAAUGUGACUCCGAUGAAGACUGUCCUUGUUUGUUCAUCCUUCCCAGCUCCUACGACAGAUCUCGCUACCACAUAUUUAACAAAAAAGACCUCAUGUUCUUGGGCCUGAUAGUCACUUGGUUUCAACCGAAUCCAGUUUAAUGUAUAAGAAAUGCCACGUCGAAUUGGUGACGUAAAUGGUUCAAUCAUUGACGGAAGUUAUGUACAGUUAGAGAGAUAUUUGACUCAGUCAAGCUGGUGCAACAGUACUACUAUAGCCAUUGAGCUGCAGUUCUGUCUGAUUGCUGAUGCUGCUGGCUGCUCCAACAGUUUGUAAAACUUGGUCAAGUUGAGGAGAACAACUGUGACCUCUGGAUAUCUUAAGAUAUUGCUCAUCCAUCAUGUUAAAUAAAGUUCUUGCUUGGGUUGGAAGAACAAGGUUUUCCUUAGGCAAGAUCUGGAAGGAACUUCUAAAAGUUCUUCAGGGGAUUUUCACAUCGUGCAAUGGGGCAAGACUAAAUUAGCUAUAUUUUUGGAGUUUGGCUUCGAUAAUUUGAUAUGGUCUCCUUGGACAAUGGCUUUGGAUGUUUCCCUUGGAAAACAUAUUCUUUGGCAUAAAGUUAUAACCCUCAAAUAUGGUGUUCUUUCAGGAGGUUGGUGGGCACAUCGUGGCAUCAUCCUCCUGCAAGGCAGUCGAAAGGUUUGGAUUUCCAUUAUUCCAUUAUUUAGUUGCAAAAGAUCGUAGUUGAUUGAUUGGCUUCCUUAGAUAUUUGAAGUGGUACAAGCAUGAGAUAUUGGGAAGAUGUUGCAGGGCAAUUGGCGUUUGCAUGGGGCUCUAUAACAUCCAGUAGCAAAAGCCUCUUCAUAAACCAUGUUUUGCAUUUUCUCCCAAACCACAUAGCACCCGAUCCUAAGAAGGAAUUGAAAUGAUGAACAGUUUCAAGAAUGGCUUCAUUACCUGACUCAUUCUGAUGAUAAAUGGCUUCGGGCUUGCGACAUUUCUGGAAAUUUUGUCAACAUAUCUCUCGAUCUUCCCAGGAGCGGUAUUAUCGUUCCUGAUUUGAGAGAAAAUAGAUAGUUGCUUGCCUGCAGGUCUGGUGGCAAUGAACCAUGAAGGGGAAGAAUUAUAGCAUCCAUGCAAGAUCCUUCUAAAUUGUAAACUCUUUCCUCCAACUUUGAUACUGACUUCUCUAUGUCAUCCUUCAAGAUUGAGUUGUGUUGAUAAAGAGACAAUGUGGUGAAAAUAAUGUCAGACAGAUUCCAGAUCCCCAUCUGGUUGUUGGGUA